rnacentral:rRNA from 1 species
CGCGUAGGCGGUGCGGUAAGUCACCUGUGAAAUCUCCUGGCUCAACUGGGAGCGUGCAGGCGAAACUGCCGUGCUGGAGUGUGGGAGGGGUGCGUGGAAUUCCCGGUGUAGCAGUGAAAUGCGUAGAUAUCGGGAGGAACACCUGUGGCGAAAGCGGCGCACUGGACCACAACUGACGCUGAGGCGCGAAAGCUAGGGGAGCAAACAGGAUUAGAUACCCUGGUAGUCCUAGCCCUAAACGAUGGAUGCUUGGUGUAGCCGGUACCCAAUCCGGCUGUGCCGCAGCUAACGCGAUAAGCAUCCCGCCUGGGGAGUACGGUCGCAAGGCUGAA